rnacentral:rRNA from 1 species
UACAGAGGGGGCAAGCGUUGUUCGGAAUUACUGGGCGUAAAGGGCGCGUAGGCGGCCUGCUAAGUCGAACGUGAAAUCCCUGGGCUCAACCCAGGAACUGCGUCCGAUACUGGUUGGCUUGAAUUCGGGAGAGGGAUGCGGAAUUCCAGGUGUAGCGGUGAAAUGCGUAGAUAUCUGGAGGAACACCGGUGGCGAAGGCGGCAUCCUGGACCGAUAUUGACGCUGAGGCGCGAAAGCCAGGGGAGCAAACGGG